UGAGGAAGGAUUCCUCUCUCAAGAUCACUCUUUGUGGAGUUUAUCAUAUGCCUACAACACUGACUUAUGACCUUCGUGAGCUGGGAUUAUUCAUCAGAAAAAGUCCACUUUCCAGUAUAUAUCCAUGUGAAGAAACACACCACUCACAGGAACAAACAACCACAGGGUUCAUUUUCAGACAAGAACACUGCUCACUAUCUGACUUCAUUAGUGCCGAGUAUAUCUAUACAUACACGAGCAUAAACAUUCGAACAAACUAAAUUACACCUUGAGAAGGUUAAGAUGGGAAAUUCUCCAAACUAAACUAGCAAUUUCCUGUUUCACGGCUUCUCAAGUGUAAUGCUGCUGACAGGUGGGGGAAGCAAGAGAAAAUGUAUGUUUAAAGGCAGGGUUAGCUUUGGAUUUUAGGAACACCAAGCUUACAAAAGAAACAACUUGUUUUUCUCAUGCCGCCUUAAUUCUGUCAGAAGCCUGAUCCAACUUUUGUUGGUAUGUGAAAUAAACGAGAAUGCAAAAUGCCAGAGAGCUCCUGAAUGGAAUCCAUCAGCAAUUUUACAAAAAAAUAUCCAUAUCUCAGUUUGGAAUUUUAUAACAGGAUUUGCCUCUUUAUUAUUGCAUUCAUCCCCCAAUCACAUAUUGCAAAUGCAUUUGUAUGCUUUGGUGAUAACCCUGUAUCUUAUUCAUUGGGUGCCAUGUAUCAAACUGAUUGGGCUUCACCUUGUUUUGAUGAAAUUCUGAAACACAGGGAGACAGUCUUACUAGUUUUAACUAAAGCAACAGAUGUUGCAUACUCAAUAGAAACAUUUGCCAAAUUUAAGCAUCAUUUUAUUUGAGAUACCUCUGCUUUCCUAGCUGCUCUAAGGGAAUCCUGAAACAUGUUUAGACAAGGACAGAGAGCAGUCACCACAUCCAACGGGGUUAUGAUGAAGCUCCUUGAGUCACUGUCUUAAUCCCCAGCAAGGCACGCUUAAUGUCACAGAGUGCCUCCUGCUAUUUGCACCUUUAUAAGUUUUGUUCGUGUAUGAUUACAGUUAUUAUCUACUAUUACUUGUGCAAAUCAACAGAUUUUAAAAGCGGUUGCACAGGCAGAUGCAGUAAAAAAUGACUCAGAUUCUACAGCCAAUCGAAUAGCUUUUUAGAUUGGUUGCAGAAGAUUUUACUGUUUUAGGCACUCCUGACAAUAAUAGCAAAAAGCAGCACAAUACAAUAGUUGAAGCUUUUUAAGAAAAGUUUCUUUCAGGUACUUUUCUUGAAAAGAUUUACCAAUAAAGGCUAAUCUAGUUAGAGAACUAUAUUAAAUCUCAUGAAAGAAUGUAACAUCCUCCACUUUGGAAGAAAAAUUGAAGUAUUCAGCUAAUAAUGCAUCUCAAAUAAUACUGCAGUCUGUUCCAGGAUUUACAAGAGUAAACAAAAUAGCUGUUCAUCAUUUGCUGAGUAUGUGAAUGGCUCCUUUCAAUGUUUAUACGUUUUACUUUAAAUUUACUCCAGGGAUAUUUUAAAAACGCUCUUUAUUUGUUUUUCUCUUAAAAGUCAGAAAAUCAUCAGGCAACAGUAUUAGCCCAGCAUCUUAUAUUAAGUCAACAGAUCACAUGGGGUGGAAGGGACCUCGAGAAAUAAUCAAGUCUAACCCCCUGCUAAAAGCAGGCUCCCCACAGUAGGUUACACAGGAACGUGUUCAGGUGGUCUUAGACUAUAUGCAGAGAAGGAGAGUCCACAACCUCUCCAGGCAGCCUGUCCAAGUGCUCUGUCACCCUCAAGUUCACAUGGAACUUCCUGUGUUCCACUUAUUUAAAUACCACCUUCACAGCAUUUGCCAAGUUCUACAAAGUUACAGAAGAGCUGCGAUAGUGAAUGUGAACCAAAGACAAGACUGUUAACAAACACAGUAUUUAUUAUCAACUACUCAGAAGUUGUAUUAAAUUCCCAUGUGGUCACAAAGGCAGAAAGAUCCCACUAAGCACUGUUUUUUGAAGAGCAGAGAUAGGUCCUCAUGAUUACCUUCUGUCAGACAGGUGACUUCUUUAGAAGGCAGUAUGUCACAGUCAGCCACAUUUGGCUCUUAGUGGACGAGCGGACACUUACCCUACUUACCUUCUGAAGCUAUUAACAUGAGUGGAAGCACACACACAUUUGGAAUAUACAUCAGUAGACACAGCCAAAAUUUCCUGUAGCAGGGCGGGGGAAAUCAACUAACAAAAGCACUGUAAAGAAACACCGUCCAGACAAAUGUACUUUUUCCAUAUUAUUUAUUUCUCCAGCUAAUUGCAGAUAUUGACAAUUACUAUAACAUUAGAUAGCAUGAAAAACAUGGCACAGAGGUGGAUGGUUUAACAGCUGCUGCUUCUGCUGGUACAACUUCAGCAGGCAGGUCUCUUCAAACCAGUGCUCAGAGAAUCAGCCCUUCUUAGAGAAUCUAUAGGCUACCCAGCAAAACUGUCUCCAAACUGAAUGAAACAGCUCAAAGUAUAGUUAUGGUUGUGUAUAAAAAUUGAUGGUUUUCCACGUUUAGAUGGAGCUGUUGUCAUGUUUAUCCUUUUAAAAUGUGGAACAAUCUCCAGUGCUCAAGGGAAAUGUUAUGAUUUCUGCUGACAUACUGCACAGCGAUGGAAACUACCGCUUAACUACACGUUUCUUGGGACUACAGAUUACUACUUGAAUUCCAGAUGAAUUCAAGCACUGAGCCUUUAAGGCAAAGCAGAUGUUAAAAGCAAGCUGACUAAGGGAAGGAGUGGGCAGUACACAAAAAUGACUAUAUGAUUCAAGCAGUAAGGCAGGACAUUGCUAAAUAAAGUCUAUAACUAAAGCAUUUAAUAAUUAUUAGUCUUUAAACACUUUCUAAUACAGAAGCAAUACCUGUAUGAUAAUAACAUUUCCUGUGUUAACUCACUUCCAGCAAAUGCUUACUGCAUGACAGCCUAUUAAAGACUAUCUACCACUCAAAAACUAAGUAAGAUAUUUCUAAGAUUUUAAAAAACCCCUACAACCUAUCUUUGACAGUAUGCUGAAGAAAUUGAAAUUGCUUUUGAGAAAUGUUCUAGUUUCAGUAAUUACUUCUACAUGUAUUUAUUUUUUCUUACAAAUAGAAAAUGCUUUUUUCUGGGUGGGGAGGGAGCCUUCUGGAAGGAAAAGGGUUUUAUUCUUGACCAUCACCCACUGUCAAAAUAUAACUCAAAUUAUUGAGCACCACUCUCGUCAGACCUUGAGGGAAGGCAGAACAGGGAACAUGCAAAUUGCAGAUCAUUUUAUUAUGAACUUCUGGACAAUGAUGGAACUACUGCUAAAAUAGCAAAAUGAAGUACAGCUCACUCUCUUUAUUCCAAAUUUCACAAAUGUAAUUUAGUAAUUUAAGUCUGACAGUUUGUUCUGACUCUGUGUUGGAGUAAAUGAAGUAAAAAGCAGCUAAGAAAAAAAGAGGCAGAAAAAAAAAACAACUAAUGAAUACAGAAAGCUACACAAAGGGAUUAUUUUCUCCCCUGAUUAACCUAUUGUCAGGUUGUAUUACUUUAUGCUGCUUUCCCUUAUAUGCCCAGUAGUCACAUAUUUCAGGCGGCUCGACUAAAACCUGGGAAGGCGUCAAUAAUACAAGAGCUGGAUUUACAUCUUGUAACACACAAAAUGGUACCUUGUGCUUCUUCAACUUGGAUUCCUUUUUUUAUUUCGCUUUUUUUUUUCCAGCAUGUAUACCUUGUUACACAUACCUGACAUUGCUUCUGUCUUAUCACUUUUCUCAAGCAGCUGCAGGAGAUGCCUUAUAGCUAGGGGUCCUCCGAGCUGUUACAAGUGUCAUCUUGACUACAAAUCUGAAUGACUUCUUUUUUAAAGCAAUGUUGGUAGACAUCAUGUGUACAACCCAUGCAACAUUGUAAGGAAGUGGUUGCUACCCUCACUAUUCCUAAUAGCUUAUAGCUAGUAUCACAGAAUCACAGAAUGGCCUGGGUUGGAAGGGAUCUCAAG